CCAAGGCUUCUAAGGCUUUCUCCGGGUAAAUGAGAGCCCUAGGAAGCCUCAGGACAUGAAAGGGAGAGGGGGUUGGAAGCUUUCAAUUUGUUUAAAUUAUUUCCAGCACUGGAUCUGUUUUUGGUUGGCAUAGCUUUAUGUCAACAGGAUUUUAGCCAUUAUUUUGCAAACUCACAGACAAUUGCACAUGCUUACAUGCCUCCAGCUUGCACUCCAGAUAUGGAACAAAAGCUUUUACUUACAGCUGGGCUGUCAAAUGCGACCACAUUUGCUCUGAUUUACAGCAGGCAUUUCCUAAAAUACAGUAUUCACUCCAUGAGGUGAAAAAAACAAAUUGUCAGGGCAAGAAGGGGACCCAGGAACCAGCAAUUACUGGGCAGACAGAAAAGAGAGAAUGACAGCACAUGUGACUGGUUAUGUCAUCUACAGCUCCCAUCUUUGUUCUCCUUUUACUCUGGCAGCACUAGAAAGGAAGCUGUGAAAGCUUACUGAAAGUAUUUAUCUGGUCAUGGGACUGGCAUACAAUCAGGUGACUAUCUGCCUACUUGCAGUGGCCUCAAGACAGCAUACAUACAGCAAGAGGGCAGUAAAAACAACGACAGGAAUAAUAAAGAACAUGAAUGCAAAACAUCGCUAAUUAAAAUAGCAAAA